AAGUCGUAACAAGGUAACCGUAGGUGAACCUGCGGUUGGAUCAUUACUAAAUGAUAAUCGUCAGUCGGUUGAGGUUGCUUCGGCGACUUCCUGGCUGGUGGUUUAACAACCCUUUGUGCACUAUAAUGUUUUUUGGGUCGGGGAUGUUAGCAAUAGCAUCAACGGCCCAGCAGUUUAACAAACCCCUUUUAAUUUGACUGAAUUGUUUUUUAAGUAAAAUUUUAAACAACUUUUGACAACGGAUCUCUUGGCUCUC
rnacentral:misc_RNA from 1 species